ACUCCCUCUCUCACCUAAGGAUCCUCCCUGAAUGGGCCUGGGUCUGCUGCUAACACAUCUCAGGAGCGCCAGCCUCAGCCCCCACUCCCAGCGCCUUGGUAAAGGUGAGCGCUACCGGAAAGAUUGCGCAUGGGGCAAAAGCAGCUUCUGAGGGCCUCUCGAAGUGCGGCCCUGCCUUCUUGGCAGUGAGAAGUGUAUGCCCCCAACCUCCACUUAGCUCUUAGUACUGGGGCCAGAGUAUCCUGGGUGUAAGAUAGAGAUGAAUCUUCUCCACGCCACAAGGCCCUGAGGAUCAUACACAACAGUGCCCCUAAAGCGCCCGGCACAGCACCUGACUAGAGCACACGGGCAACGCAAGCGACAGACGGGAGCUGGGAGAGUUUCCUGUGGCUGCCGGAACAAACAAUUACAAACUGGGCGUGGUGACGGGCGGUCACGCACCUGACCUUUACCUUCUCACCAUUCUGAAGGCCGGAAGUCUGAGAUGCUGUUGCCAGCAGGGCCACACCCCCUGAGGGCUCUGGGGAAAGAAGCAUCCCGGCCUCUUCCGGCUCCUGGUGGCUCCAGGCUCCUGGGAUUGUGGCUGCAUCGCACCUGGCUCUGCCUCUGUCUUCACGUGGCCUCUCCCCACGUGUCUUUUCCUCUCCUCCUUAGGACACUUGUCAUUGGAUUUAGGGCCCCCCAUAGAAUCCAGGAGGGCCUCCUCUUCAGAUCCUUAAUGACAUCUGCAAAGACCCUUCAUCAAAUAAGAGGUGCUCCUGGGUCCCCAGCAACAGAUUGGGUGUUCAACUGUGCCCCUGUUGGCCUCCACGUGAGCCCUGAGGAAGAAACUGUCCCCAUAAGGGCACAAGGCUGGUGGCCAGAUCUGCAGCUAGGCCGGGAUGCGGCUCCCAUGCGGCCCCAGUGCCUCUGCAGUGCCUGUCACCCUGGGCUGUCUCUAAGAAUACUCCAUGAUUCCAGGGCACAGAGCUGCAGUGCUGCCCCCGGUAUGCCUCAGCCUGCACUGCAGCUCAGAGGCAGCAACGGGGGCAACGCAAACCAGCUCUGUGUCUGAGAGCCUCUGCCUUGCUUUCUGGGGGAUGGCACAGCACUGACAGGACAUGCCAACAGCUGCAGGUGGUAGGGAUAGUGACGCACCCUGCCAGGCUCUCCAUGCCCUCCCUAGACACUUGGAGAAAGCACCCUUUCAUCUGUCCGAGGAAUCCUCGAGAAAUAGUCAUGCACUCUUAAUUCAGAUGUUAUAUAGUCAUAUCUAAUGGUAACAACGGCCGUCACUUGAAAACGGCUCCUGUGCACAUAUCUUCCAAGAACAGAUCACGGAAACGUUACCAGGUGACUGUCUUUACACGCUCUGCGUCAGCAAUGGGGAGCUGGCAUAAGCUUUUGGUUGGUGGUGUGAACCAUGCCAGCUCCCCGAAGCAAGCUUUCUUUUCUGUUGUUUGAAAUACGGCAGGAGAGCUGUUUCUGGUUCAAGAGAAAUCAUUUUUGUACCAAUUUAAUUCAUGUCUCUAAAACCGAGGCAGGGAUGGCAUCACAGUCUGUUCCACGAAUUCCUACUCAUUUGGGGCCUUUCCAUGACAAAUCAUUUGUAAUGGAAUCUCUCCGAAGCACAGGGGGAAAAUCGAAGGCAUCACAGUGCCCUUUCCAUUUCAGUCAACUCCACCGGCCAGGAUUCCGUUUGCAGAACACGGGGCAAACACAGAACGGUGCCUGCCCAGCACACUCACUCCCUGUUAGCGCCUCUGUUCACCUGUGUUCUUUUAUAUGAGUGACCAUUUCCUAAAACGCAGUCACUGUCAAGUAAGAUCUUGGAAAUUAUCACCACGGAGAAAAAGACAAUGAAGAGUCUGCAUUAAAAAUGCGAUGGGUGCUGAGAUAGAAGGAGCUCAGAACGGCCCGGGGUCAUUCCAUUUUCAAGACCUCCCACCAGUCACUGCUGGAUAGAGGAAGCAAGCUGGACAUCAGUGUUUAAUCAACAAAAUUUAUUAUCCAUAAGCUGACAAUGCCUGAGGUUACCUGAGGACUGGCAUUAAAUAACUUAUACAUGUAUUUUUGACAGACUUUUAUAAGUAUUCAUGUGUUUAUAAAAGCAAACUCCAACCUCUCCCCUGCUAGAAAUUGGGAUCAUGCCCCCGCCGUAGGCACAGCCUUGGGGGAGGAUGAAGCCACAAAGCUCUGCUCUGCCCACAUUGUCAGAACGCCCAAGAGGUGAGUGGCCAUGCGAAGCCAAGCCUGGGCAAAAGCUGGCCUGUGGUGUAGACUCUCCAAAAUGCAGACCCAACCAGAAGCCAGCCUGCCUUUCCAUCUGGAGGCCCUGCAGAGUUUCUGAAGGUGUCCUGUUCCAGGAGCCUGGCAAACACCUCCAGAGAUACUCGGGGUGUGCCAACUCUGGGGCUGUGUCCUGAGAAGCCAGGGCUCCACGGCCCAGCCCAUGGAUGCGUGCCCAGGGGGCAGGCCCCACGCCCUCAGCAUGUGCUGACAUGCUGUCUCCAGCUCCAGAAGCCACACCAGAACCUUCCACGGAACAUCUAAGUGAUGAAAUCUCAACAUUACAGUAAAAAAGCACAAAAGGUCCCUUUUGCAAAUCUUUGUGUACAGCUAAGAUGUUCAGUUCAGUGCGGCGUCUUGCCCGUGCACAUCCAGUGCGCACACGGACGUAGGGGCUGAACCGCACACUCAUCUGGGGCAUCUUCACUGGAAUAUGAGACCACGCAUGAUGCUAUUUUACUUUUUCUUUAGAUUCUGUGUAGUUUCCUGAGCAUAUUUCAGAUGGAACUUCUUUUGGUCUGCGAUCUUUGGCAGAUAAAAGGUCUCUAGGAUUAUUAUAAAAAUUGUGCAUUAUUAAAAAGAAAAGGAAAAAAGACAUCUUGCCUCAGCUGGCCCAACCCCUGUCCCAAAAACCUUAUCCCACUGUGGUCCCCUCCACCUGCACAGGCCCUGCCCCCCUUCUCUGCCAGGAGACAGACCCUUUGUUAUCUGAACCACUCUUCCUUCUCGCAGGCCCCGGGCUCACCAUCAGGUGCCCAGCCCAGCAUUCCUCUGUGAUGCCUAAGGACCAGGUAAGUGAAUGCAUGAGGUAAGGAAAGGAAGACCAGAGAGGUGAGAGCCUCAGGUCACCUGUGACUCAGUCUCCGGCUUCAUGCCAGCCCAUGGUUGUGGUUUCCAGCAAUUUCCAGGCAAUACACAAAGUAACAUCUCAAUAGAGGUUAUCACCAACACGAUGCGGCUGCCUGCCUGAGACGUACCCCAGCAGGACACACUCUCCGUGAGGUUUAGCCAGGGGGCCCAAAGGCCUAUGAGAAGCUGCUGACCACACGGUAAGGAAGCUCCAUGCUGAGCCUGGGCUGCCCUGCCCCUCACCACUUGGGGCUUCUGCUCCUGACGGGCUCUUUGGAGCAACGGGGGGAAGCCGGUCCCCACACAGAGGGCAUGGUUCCGCUUGGCACGCUCAGCCACGCUAUUCUCCUUUCCAGAUGGCGAUCUUCCCCUCCUCCUUGCCCGACCCACUCAGCACGUAUCUGUCCUCAGCCGAGCACAGCGUCCUCACAGUGUCCAUGUGUGCCACCAGCUCCUUCUCCACGGUCUUGCUCUCGGCAUCAAUCACGUAGAUUUUCCCCUUGGGUGUUCCCUGCCACAGCCCUCGGCUACCCACCCAGACCUGCCAGGGAGAAACAGGAGGGGUUAGUGGGGAAAGGAGCCCCUCCUAGGCAUGCCAGGGCUCUGCCCAGCUACCUGAAAUUGACAUGUGUGCCCCAAAACUACCUCCUUCCUGGACAGGGCUCUGCCGGCUGAGGGCCAGGGCCACCUGGCAGGUGCAGAGGACCCUUCUCAGGCUUAGAACCUAACGGCCAAGGGGCUCUAGGGAACGAAACUGAGUCGAGCGCUGGAAACGUGCUGGGGGUGGAUUGUAAGUGUUCUCACCACCCAAAAAACAGCCACCUGUACAGUGACGGAUAUGGCAAUGGAGCGGCUUGACUGUGAUUAUUUCACAAUGUAUAUUGAAAUAGCAUUGUGUAUACCUUAGAUAUAUGUAACUCCUAUUUGUCAGUCCUAGCCAGCAGAGUCCUGGGGAGAUGCUCACUGAAUUCCCCCCGCAUUGUCUGAGACUUGCUCGGGACCUGGAACUCCAGCUUUCCUUCCUGUUUCUCCCUUUUUGGGUGGGAACGUCUGACCUCUGCCUAGCCCAGCCUUGUAUUUCGGGAAGAGACAGACCUUCUAGCUGCACAGGUUCCCAGUGGAAGAGCAGCCGGUUCUGCCCCAGGUGGACCCCACCCCACAGCUCACCCACAUGGAAAGGUACUGGCUCCACGUGGAAAUUUGGGGCUCAGAACAGAUGCUGGAAUGAGCAAGGGCUUUGGGGGAUGUAGUGAUGGAGGGAGUGUAUUUUGCAUGUGGGACAGCUGUGGAUUUGGGGGGCGAGAGAGCAGACCGUAAUGGGUUGAACAGUGUCCCCCAAAUACAUGUCCUCACCGAACUUCAGAAUGUGAGCUGCUUCGGAAAUUCAGUGUGACCAGCGUCCCCACAAGAGACACAGGCACAGGGGGAGAGAGUGCUGUGUGGCCUAGGCGCAGAUUAGAGUGCCACGUCCACAGCCAGGGACCGUGGCCGCAUGAGCAGGGGGCAGAGAGAAGGGCCUGGAGUGCAGGUGCCCCCGAGGGAGGCCGCACUGCUGACACCUUAUUUCUGGCCUCCAGCCUCAAGUAGUGUGAGAAAAUAAGGCUGUCACUUGAAGCCACCCAGUUUGGGGGAGUCUGCUGUGGAUCCUAGGAACACCUGGUUUGUGAGUGCUUGGGGCACACCAUGAAACCUGCAGCCCGUGUGACCUGUGUGCCCACUGGCGCCAACCCUGCGCAUGCCUGUUGGAGGGGCCCUGAGAGGCAAGGGCAGGAGGGCACAGGGUGCGUGUGGCUGGCUCUCUGGGGAGCGUGGGGACCUGGCCGGGGCAAGCGAGACCUGGCAGGAUGCUGGGGGUGGUGGGCCCUCCACCCUACCUGCUUCUUCACCCGGAUCAUGCAGAUGAUCUCAGAGCAGUCCUCGAGGGGCACCCUCUGAGGGGGCUGGGCCAGGUCCUUCAGGCUCCAGAUGUAAACCUCGCUUCGUCCUGUACAUGCCGCCCACAGCUGCUCCUGCUGAAACACAGGGCACAGUGUGGGCCAUGGGCCUCGGGCCACGUGCAUGCUGGGCCCAGAGCCCCUGCUGGGAUACCUCAGGAAGGAGCUGGAAGGCCAGGAAGGAGGUGUUGGUGUCUGUGAAGUUCUCCUCAAUCUUCAGUUCUUGACGAAGGAAGCCGUUCGUUGUCAUGACCACGAUGCUGUUACCUGUACCUGUAGAAGGGAGGAGCUAAGAUGGGGCCAGGCAGCAUCACUGGCAACAUAAGAUGCCCACACCUGAGCUCUCUUGCUGCUGCUGAGGAAACCACAGGAAUCCUGUGCCCUCACCCACGGCUUUGAGCACCGUGGCGAGAAGAUGCAGCAGCUUCUCAGAGGCGGUUCAGGGUUUUCUACACCUGAAACCAAAGUGGCUCCAACAGCCACUGUUAGAAUUCAGGGACAACACCCACCCUCUGGGGAACACGCCCUGUGUGGUUCUAAGUGCCCCUCUCAUCUGUGAACCACUCUAGCAGAACGUCUUUUUUGUCAAGCAAGAAAGUUUCCACAUCUGUGAGAUCUGUGAGCGGUCGGAGGCAGCACCACCGAUGGAUGUGAGGCAAGGUCUCCAGAGAAGACCGAAGCCGGCGUUCAGGAGACAGAGGCGUGCCCAGCCCUCCUUCCUCACACUCUGACUGCAAGCAUCCCUCCCUCUCCACUGCCCCACGCUGAAGCCCCAGUGUUAGCACGGAAGUGGGAGGGCAGGAGAAUAGGCCCGGCCCAGCAGCGCCCACCCCAACCUACAGGGAGGGAUGGAUUCCCAAGCAAUGCGGCAGAAGGUACCCAGGGCCACAGGAGGGGGCUUCACAGGGCACAGGGGACACAGGACUGCAGCCCCUCUGGCACCCGCCUCGUCCGAGAAAUGGCCCCUCAGUCUUUGGCCGCCUCAGCGACUCUCAACCUAAGCUGCGUUUGCGUCCCUCCCUCCUUGCUUCUGAGCUGGGCUGAUGGUGCUUUUCCCGAGACCUGACAUCAAGCGCUGGCAUCCCACAGGGAGCCCUUCAGCCAGACUCAGGACCGUCCUCCCGGACUCAUGAACAGCCUCUUCGGCUGCUGCUGCCUGUUACGAGUGCCAGGUCGGUGGGUGCCAGGGACCACUGAAGCCUGUGUGCAGGGGGCCUGUGCCACACUGGGCGCCCCACCAGUCCUCUUGCCCACAGGGGCUCCUCCUCGGUGCUGGACCACUAGCUCUCACACCGCCCCAGACUCUUCGUAAACGCACGGGCCCAGACUAUCAGAAUUCAGAUGCCAACACUGUUGUGUGUAGGGGUGCCUGCCAUACAUAGGGCACCGUGUGAGGGGACAGAUGUGGGCAGGACUGGUUGCUGUCCCCGAGGUAUGCCAAGCACACCUCGUGGGAGUGGGAGGAGGGCAGGGACCUGGGGAGGGCUUUCUCUCAGCUGGGACUCAGGAAUGGAGAGGGUAAGGAUAACUGGGGAAGUGGGCGAAGAACAGGGGACAGGGGUGAGGGGCUGGCAAGGGGGGUAGUGGGUCUCGGGUACCCAUUGCCAGCCUCAGCUGGACUGAGGGGCUGGGCUCCAUCCUGGGGGCACAGUGGCCAUGGGGCACCCUUACUCUGCCUCUCUACUCCUUGCCCCUUUCUGAAGCUUUGGUCUUGUCCCAUGACCCCUUUCCCACGCAAGCCCGGUCCAGGCCACUGGGGCUCCAUGCCCGCCCCCCGGGCCCAGGUUCCGGGCCUCUGCUGCUGGCAUCUGGCACUCUCUGCGCCUUUGAGGGAGACAGUGCCCUCGCUUCCUGCCUCCCCACCCUCAGUGCCCUUUGCAGUGGAAAGCAUGGGGUUCACAUCUCACUCUUUCAACACUGAAGACUCCAGGAAGGUGAAGGGGCUGCCCAGUCAGCAAGCAUCCAAUGCCCAUGCCUGGAUCCAAGCCCAGAUGCCCAGAAGGCCACAGCCCACCCCGCAGUGCACCCAGCAGCCUGGCAGAUGUUAACCUCCCAGCAUGGGUGACGGGGGGCAGAGGUCCAGCUCCUUCUAGAAAAUGGCCCAAGCCGCCAUCCUUCUGAGCAACACUCCACCUUGGUGGUACCCCUCACCAGAGGGGGCCGCUCAUCCCAGCCUCGGGGCUGACAUGGAAGGACCACCCCGGGGCACCCCCAGCCCCACCUUGCUCAGGGCGCUGGGAGGAUUAGGGCACCGCCACCCCGCUCCAUGCUAUCUAUCUUGCAGGCUGCGCCACUGCACCCACAGAUACCCAGAUGGAAACAAGACAAGGCCUGACCCAAAUCUUGCAAGUGCGAACCUCUGAUGAGUGGCCACAAUUUUUGCUCAUUAUCCUCAUUAGAGAAAGACUGGAAAUAACCUCAUAAGCAAAUGGCCUCCAAGUUUACCUGAGGAAAGCCCAGGUUCCUCUUGUACCUUCCUCAGUGUGGUUCAGGAAAACCACUUGUUGCAUUCAGACAAGUCAAAUGGGAAAGUGAAGAGGCUCGUGUGUAAAGAUACAACACUUAAAACGAGGCUGCCGGCCCGCAUGGUAGCUCACGCCUGUAAACCCAGCACAGUGGGAGGCUGAGGCAGGAAGACUGCUACAGCCCAGGAGUUCAAGACCGGCCUGGGCAACAUAGUGAGACGCCCCCUCAGACAAAAACUCUUGUCCAUCCUCACCUCUUUGGUCUCCCUGGCUAUCUUCAGCAGGUACCUUUCAGCCCAUGGACUGGUCGGCUAGAUUAAUCCAAAAUGCAACUGCAGAGGACAACUUCUCACUCACACACACACACGCACGCGUGACGGUCCCUGGAGACCAAGAAGAGCUGAGGACCCGUUCCCUGAAAGAAGGGGAGCGAGUGUGCAGCACUGCAGUCACCCAGCUUUCCCCAGGGCUCCAAAGAGUCCAAGUUCUGGCAGAGCACAGCAGCCCGGACUGGCUGAGGUAGGUUUGGGGCUGCCGGCAUGGCUGGAAAUGGAGGAAAAAGCCUCAAGAUGAGGGAACCCCAAAAUACACAUAAAUGUCCUCGAAUCCCUGGCUGCUGCCUAAACUGCAAAUAAAUAGCAGAAAGUGGUAGCUGGAACAUUCUGGAACCAAGAAGGCAUUUCAUUGCUUCCUGGGGCUAGAGAAAGGAGAGGUUAAUAACAGUUCCAGCUCAGGGGUGUCCAACCCUUCAGCUUCCCUGGGCCAUACAUAAAGUACACUAACACCAACAACAGCUGAUUUGCAAAAACUAAUCUCAUAACUUUUUUAAAAAGUUCUCAAAUUUUUGUUGGGCCACAUGCAAAGCCAUCCUGGGCCGCAUGCAGCCCCCAGGCCAUGGGCUGGACAAGCUUGCUCUAGCUUAUCCAAAGUAGAAAGGGUUGGUUACGGCUUGGGUGUCCCUGGAAAUCUCAAAGGCCAUGCAUUAAGAAUGAAGACCACACACCAGAACUGAGGGGUACGCUCCAGGACUGGGGUCAAAACUGAAAUAGACUCACCCUAGAAAAGCUAAAACCAAGCCUCUGCAUGGGAUCAAAGUGACCUGCCGGUCAUUUAAUGACCUGCCAGAACACACCAAAUGCUCUUUAAAGCUAUACUUGUAUCAGAACAGACUACAAAUCAGAGAUUCUAAGAGACAAAUAAGGUCCCAAUAUAAUGAUAAAAGGGUGAAUUCAGCAAGAGGACAGAACAAUUAAAAUAUUCACGCACCCAACACCAGAGCUCCCUGGUACAUAAAUACUGACCAAUCUCAAGGAGAGACCGACUGCAGUACAGUCACAGCAGGGGACUUCAGCACCCCACUCAGCAAUCCCCUAGCCAGGAAGUAACAAACCCUGGAGUUCAAGCACACGCUGGACCAGAGAGGCCUGCUGUUCACAGAACAUUUCACCCAACUGCGGCCGAGACGCGAUCUUUCAUCAGCACGUGGAAGAUGCUCUGGAAGAGACCAUAUCGUAGGCCACAAAAGAAGUCUGAGCGAUUUCAAAAAAGUAGAAAUCUUACCAAGCAUCUUCAGAACAAAGCUAGAAAUCAGUAAGCGAAACCGAGCACAAGGACAUUAAGCAGCCCGCUCCCGAACAACACUGGGUCCAUGAAGAAAAGAGGAAGAAAUUUAAAAAUUGUCUUGAAACAAAUGAAAAUGGAGAUACAACAACCCCUAAUCCAUGGGAGACAGCGAAAGCAGCGCUAAGGGGGAAGCAAUAAACACCUACAUCCAAAAAGGACAGACUUCGAAGAAACAACUGAAUGACACACCUCAAGGAACUAGAAAAGCAAGAACAGACCCAAUCCCAAAUUAGAAGAAAUGAUACAGAUCAGAGCAGAAAUAGAAAAACUGCACAUGGAAGAAAAUAUGGAAGACCAACAAAAUGAAAAGUAGUUUUUAAAAGAUAGACAUCUAGGGCCGGGCGCGGUGGCUCAAGCCUGUAAUCCCAGCACUUUGGGAGGCCAAGGCAGGUGGAUCACGAGGUCAAGAGAUCGAGACCAUCCUGGUCAACAUGGUGAAACCCCAUCUCUACUAAAAAUACAAAAAAUUAGCUGGGCAUGGUGGCGAGUGCCUGUAAUCCCAGCUACUCAGGAGGCUGAGGCAGGAGAAUUGCCUGAACCCAGGAGGCAGAGGUUGCAGUGAGCCGAGAUCGCGCCAUUACACUCCAGCCUGGGUAACAAGAGCGAAACUCCGUCUCAAAAAAAAAAAAUAGACAUCUACACACCUUUAGCUAGACUAAGAACAA